rnacentral:piRNA from 1 species
UGACGCCUUGUGACUCAGGUACCUCA